rnacentral:tRNA from 1 species
AAUAAAAUGGCUGAGGUUAAGCGAUAAAUUGUAAAUUUAUUUACGAGAAUUUUCUCUUUUAUUA